AACGAACGCUGGCGGCAUGCCUAACACAUGCAAGUCGAACGAGAUCUUCGGAUCUAGUGGCGCACGGGUGCGUAACGCGUGGGAAUCUGCCCUUGGGUUCGGAAUAACAGUGAGAAAUUACUGCUAAUACCGGAUGAUGUCUUCGGACCAAAGAUUUAUUGCCCAGGGAGUGAGCCCGCGUAGGAUUAGCUAGUUGGUGGGGUAAUGGCCUACCAAGGCGACGAUCCUUAGCUGGUCUGAGAGGAUGAUCAGCCACACUGGGACGGGGACACGGCCCAGACUCCUGGGGGAGGCAGCAGGGGGGAAUAUUGGAAAAGGGGAGAAAGCCUGAUCCGGCAAUGCCGCGUGAGUGAUGAAGGCCUGAGGGUUGUAAAGCUCUUUUACCAGGUAUGAAAAUGCCAUCACCUGGAGAAAAAGCUCCGGCUAACUCCGUGCCAGCCGCCGCCGUAA
rnacentral:rRNA from 1 species